rnacentral:rRNA from 1 species
GUUUAAGCAUAUCACUAAGCGGAGGAAAAGAAACUAACGAGGAUUUCCUUAGUAACGGCGAGCGAACCGGAAGUA